rnacentral:lncRNA from 1 species
UUUAUUUUUUCUUUCUUAAAAAGUCUUGCUAUUUAUAAUUUGGUAGAAUAAUAUAUUUCACCUACGAUGUUAUUUAUCUUAUCGAGUAAAAUGACUUGAAGGCUGAAUAUAAUAUUCAAUUCUAGACAUUUAAUCAAACUUCUCAUUUAACAAAUAUACAAAAUUUUCAAAAUAAAUUAUAAAGAUCUACGGAACAAAAUAUUCAUCCACCGAAUAGGAUCUAAAUGUUCGUGUCGAUCUUUGGUGCAAAAUUUUUUGUUGUUUUUAUUUAAAGCAAAUCUAUCUACAGAAUACACUCUAUCUAUCCAAUGGACAAUAUUUUUAUAUUGAUUUUGUUACAUUAUUAUUAAUAUUAAAUUUUGAAAAAUUAUCUUAAAUUUGUGGACAAAUGAAUAGAAAAUUUAUAUCCUAUUUUUGGGUGUAGGUGUAUAUGAGAGGGUUUAUUUUCAAGGUAGGAUUUGAUCCUCUCUACAUGUAUGAAUAGAAUUUAAUUUCCGAUCUCUCUUAGGUUGAUUUUGGGUAUGUGUAUGUUGCUACAAAGAAAGUUUAUUGGUCGAGCCUUUAGACAAAGUCAAAAACAAAAAAGAGGAAAAUAAAAAAUAAAAACUAUUUUCUCUUUUGAGCAACAACUCCUCAGUACUAAGACAAUCGCAUCUAAAGGAAGCAUGUAGAAAUAUAUCGAACAGCUUUUGCAUGCGAAAACACACUCAAAAAUUAAAAUAAAAAAAAUAAAAAAUAUAUAUAAUGGGUGAUAAUAAUGUAUACACAAUGAAUGCCAAAAACUGCUUACACAAAUGAAUAUGCUCCGUAGAAAAAGUCUAAAAUAUAACAGUCACAUGAAGCAAUGUUAUGUCUCCAACUAAUUAAAUUGCUUUUCUAGGAUUCAUUCGUUCAAUGUUUUAAAAUAUAUUUGUAUCAAAAAUAGUAUGAUUGACUGAAUAUAGAUAAUAUACUGCAACUGCUAAAGUAGACCUCUUUAUGAACCCUAUAUGAGAAGUUGACCCCUUUAUGAACCCUAUAUGAGAAGUUGAUACGUGGCUUUUUAUAUGUUUGUCACGUGUCAAACUCAAAUACAAAUAUAGAUUUUCUAUUACUAUAUACUAAAAUAGAACCCUUUAUGAACCCUAUAUGAGAAGCUGACACGUGGCUUUCUAUAUGCUUGCAACGUGUCAAGAUCAAAUACAAAUAUAGAUUUUCUAAAUAUAUCUAUUACUAUAUACUAAAAUAGAUCCCUUUAUGAACCCUAUGUGAGAAGUUGACACGUGGCUUUCUAUAUGCUUGCCACGUGUUAAGCUCAAAUACAAAUAUAGAUUUUCUAAAUAUGACUAGAUUGACAGUUAUAUCCAAAACAAAUUAUAUUGUAGAUAACUUUAUAAUAAGUAGGCAACAAAGUUUUUUUUUCUUUAUAUUUUCUUGAAGACCAACAUCUAUAUAUUUUUGAGUUUUGAAAAUCUGUAUGUCUAUCAUAUGCAUAUGCUUACUCUAAUUUGUGUCAAAUAUAAAAGUUUAGUUGAUCUUAUUAUAUACCUAAAUAUUAAUGUCAUUUGUAAUUUUACAUAUCAAUUUUAGCUAUCAUUUUGUUUUGCACAUCAAUAUGUAAUGUAAAUUAUUUUGCACGCCAAUUCAUAGAUAAUAGAGCAAGGUUGAAUUUUACUUUUUACUUGAGUAUUUACUUUGGUCCAUAAUUUUUUUUCUCUAGCUUUUAUACUUUAAUAUAUACUAGAAUUAAGAUUAAUAGUAUAUUUUUUAUUUAUUAAAAAAAUAUAAUAUUAAUUAGAAUAUUUUUAUUAUUAUCACAUAAUAACUUUUGUUAUUUUAUAUUAUUAUAUUAUCCGUGUAUCGCACGGGUCAAAUACUAGUAUAUACAUAUUGUGCUAGAUGACUUACGUAAUUGUAAUCUAUUGAUAUUGAUGGUAUCCGAGGUACUUUGAUGAUAAUGCAUCUUAAUUAUUAUAUUCUUAUAUAUGUUGUACAAGCAAAAUAUUCUACACAUGCAGUUGUAGGAAAUUUGCUUUCUCUCUGUGGCGGCUGUAGAUUUGUAGACUAAGAUAAAUAGUUUGAUUGGACAUAUAUUAAGAUCAUGUUUGAAGCCAAAAUAAAUUAUUUACAAUAACUUAUUUAUUAUAAAACUUUUCUAGUGUGAUUAUACAUAGGAUUUAUUUUUUCUUUCUUAAAAAGUCUUGCUAUUUAUAAUUUGGUAGAAUAAUAUAUUUCACCUACGAUGUUAUUUAUCUUAUCGAGAAAAAUGACUUGAAGGUUGAAUAUAAUAUUCAAUUCUAGACAUUUAAUCACACUUCUCAUUUAACAAAUAUACAAAAUUUUCAAAAUAAAUUAUAAAGAUCUACGAAACAAAAUAUUCAUGCACCGAAUAGGAUCUAAAUGUUCGUGUCGAUCUUUGGUGCAAGAUUUUUUGUUGUUUUUAUUUAAAGCAAAUCUAUCUACAGAAUACACUCUAUCUAUCCAAUGGACAAUAUUUUUAUAUUAAUUUUGUUACAUUAUUAUUAAUAUUAAAUUUUGAAAAAAUUAUCUUAAAUU